rnacentral:rRNA from 1 species
GACGAACGCUGGCGGCGUGCUUAACACAUGCAAGUCGAGCGGUAAGGCCCUUUCGGGGGUACACGAGCGGCGAACGGGUGAGUAACACGUGGGUGACCUGCCCUCAGCUCUGGGAUAAGCCUGGGAAACCGGGUCUAAUACUGGAUAUGACUCCAUGACGCAUGUUGUGGGGUGGAAAGCCUUGUGCGGCUGAGGAUGGGCCCNCGGCCUAUCAGCUUGUUGGGGGGUGAUGGCCUACCAAGGCGACGACGGGUAGUCGGCCUGAGAGGGCGACCGGCCACACUGGGACUGAGACACGGCCCAGACUCCUACGGGAGGCAGCAGUGGGGAAUCUUGCGCAAUGGGCGAAAGCCUGACGCAGCGACGCCGCGUGAGGGAUGACGGCCUGGUGU